rnacentral:rRNA from 1 species
AUAUUCCUAGCUAGGCUGCAACUAUCUUUUUUGCUUUGUUAGAGCAACUCCAACGGACAGCACAUCUGAACUGAACAACAGAGAGCGCCCCUGUUGAGAGUCGAGCGAGAGAAGCACGUCCCGCCCGAUCCCCAAUCUUCCCCGGCGGCGAUGCCGGCUGGAGGAGAGAAGGGAGAGGAGCACGGAGGAGCUAUGUAUAUAUUAAGUCUAAGUUGAGUCUUACCCCUGUGGCGUCUGGCGCUAUGCCGAGGUGGAGCGUACCGCCGCCGCGUUCGAGCAGCGGCCGGUGGUUAGCGGUGGCUGCACUCCUGGCUGCGCUGGUGUGCCAGUUGCUUGUCAGGAGUGGGUUGCCGGUGACUCCACGAAUAAGCUCGUUUGGUCCGCUGAUCUGGAGGAGGUCCUUAUUUUCCUCUGCUUCCAAGGUUACCAUGGCGGUGAAGGAGGAAGAGAGGAAAGAUGGAGAUCCAGUUCGGGUUCGAGCUCAUCACCGACGGAGAUCUUGGAUGGCCUAUGGCUCCCGCUGUUGCGGUCGAUGCCGGCCGUCGCCGCCGAAUCCUCUAACCGAAUGGCGGUCUUUCUUCUUCCUCCCGGCCAAGAGCCAGAUGGGAGGCAAUGCAGCUUCAUCCUGGAGUUCGUGGCGUGGUGCCAUGGAGGGCUCGCCGCACCAAGUGGUGCCGUCCCCGGUGAAGACGAGUCAAGUUUCAGGCUGGAGUUGCCAGGUACCCGAUUGCUUUUUUCAUCAAUUUUCUGGGGUCCUCUUUGUAAUAGUCAGGGACCGGUUAGUGUUUUCCUUUUUCGUUCAGGGUCCUGAUGUAAAAUCGCCGUGUACUGCUCCUUUCUAAUCAAUGCAGCUUCGGGGUCCUUCCGGGCCCUUAGUUUGUUCAAAAAAAAGCAACUCCAACGGGCCAAUC